GACGAACGCUGGCGGCGUGCUUAACACAUGCAAGUCGAACGAAGAGCGAUGGAAGCUUGCUUCUAUCAAUCUUAGUGGCGAACGGGUGAGUAACGCGUAAUCAACCUGCCCUUCAGAGGGGGACAACAGUUGGAAACGACUGCUAAUACCGCAUACGAUCUAAUCUCGGCAUCGAGGAUGGAUGAAAGGUGGCCUCUACAUGUAAGCUAUCACUGAAGGAGGGGAUUGCGUCUGAUUAGCUAGUUGGAGGGGUAACGGCCCACCAAGGCGAUGAUCAGUAGCCGGUCUGAGAGGAUGAACGGCCACAUUGGGACUGAGACACGGCCCAGACUCCUACGGGAGGCAGCAGUGGGGAAUCUUCCGCAAUGGACGAAAGUCUGACGGAGCAACGCCGCGUGAGUGAUGACGGCCUUCGGGUUGUAAAGCUCGGUUAAUCGGGACGAAAGGCCUUCUUGCGAAUAGUGAGAAGGAUUGACGGUACCGGAAUAGAAAGCCACGGCUAACUACGUG
rnacentral:rRNA from 1 species